UUGUGGCCUCUCUGAGCUCGUCAUUUCCUCGUUAAGGUCAUUUCAUCCACUCGUUGAUGCAGGACUAGGCAGCCUCCAGCCAGACACAACCUGACGUCUGUCUUGACCUUGGGGAAUCCCUUAGGUCUCUCAUUUCUCCAACUCCAUCCCCCGUCAUCUGGAAUGUUCUCAUUCGCAUGGAACUUGGAUCCCUCCUAACUGGACUCCUUCCUCCUCCUGUGAUCUGACGCAUCUCAGACCCUGCUGUCAAUGCCACUUUUUGUUUACCUCCCCUACCCCGUCCUCUCACAAGGGAAGCCAUGAUGGGUUUCAAACAGAGAAGUUGAGAUUUGAUGAAGAAGA